GAUUUGAUAAUUUUAUUUUAUUGAUGAAAUGUCUCAGGACACAUAGUGUAUAUAGAAAUAAUCACAUUUUCAAGUGUUACCCUAAACAAAAACUGAAUGUAAGCUGUCACUUUUUGCUUUGAGAAUAUUGAACUUAGUCAUGGCAAAGGUGCCCUAGUCUUGGAACAGAAGCAAUGUUAGAUUGACAAAUAUCCUUUAUUAAAUAGGUUUAAGAAAACACAGAAUGGCUGGGGAAAGAAAGUCAGUGUGCAGAACUUCUGUAGCUCUUCAAGGAGAGUUAGAUUCUGAUCACCAUCUCUUUUCAUUAUUUCCCCUCCUCCUUUGUUUGAUCUGGUUCAAAUAUUCAGCUGAUGUUAGCAUACUGAAAAAUUACUGAUUAUAUAUGAUAGGAUAAUGCAAGAUAAAGCGGACUCUGAUAUUUCUGCCAGGGCCCCACCUCACGUCCUCCCAGAGGACUGGCAAAGCCACCCACACAUCGCUGCUCUGGACAGCACCGGUGAGCAGCUCCGGCACUGGAUUUAUAGCGCAACAGAUGGCUUGUGAGUUUGGCUUCAGCUCUCAGCAUUGUCCUUUUAAUCACUCCUGCUGUCUUCUGAACACUAGCCAGGAUGAUUCCAAGCUCUUUCUGACAGACAAGCAGCUAUUUUAUAGGCCAUUGCACUUGUAGGCACACACACACUGGAGAUGCUUUUCACUAAGUGCAACAUCCCAUUUUACAAUCAGCCUUGGGUUCCAAAGUUACCUGAAUAUCCCCCAUGUUUCACUUUCCUGUGGUCCCCUUCUCCAGAUCCAGCCCCGCAAAUCUCUAGAUGACAGUGCUAGUAAAUUCUUUCCACUGUGAAAACUGGUGAAAAGAUAAGAAACAGAACAGAGAAUAAAUAGUUAUUAAUCCUCAUAGAUUCAUCUUCCUACAGUGACUAAGACAGCAUGGGCCAAGGCUUCUAGAGAAGGGACUUUCCAAAUAUCUUACAAAAUGAAGUAUAUCAUCCAGACCUUCGUUGUCUGCAUGAUCAUUCACUCUUUCUAACAACAGAUUCAGAAGUUAUAACACCUCUCUAUCCCAGCCAUGUUGAUGUAAAUCUGUAUUUUAGUUCUCUACAUAAUAAUGUUUACUUUUUGCUGUGCCUUGCAACUAAAAGGGUAUCAAAGCAACUGGUGGGCUCCAAGGUGGAAACCAUUAAUUAGAUUUUAAGGAAGGAAAUGCCAAAUCAGUUCUUUACAGUGAGAAGAGAGCUGAGUCGCUGGCUUUGCCUUGAGGAAAGACCUGAAAGUAUCAGCCUUUUUCAUUUCUGAGAUAAAAUACAAAGUUCAUGUGUAUCACAAAUGUGUCAAGCCACAGUAAGUUUUGCAUUACUACCAGCCAAAUAAGAAGAGAAGACCUAUUUCUGACUUGACUACAAAUGACAACUAUGAUUAUUUGUUCUAGUGCAGCCAGUGGUGUAAGUCAGUGUGAAACAAUGAACUCCACAAAAGCCAACACCAGCUUGUACCUGCUAUUUCCCAGAGACUCCAAGGUCUAUUUGAAGUAAGGAAGUAAUAAGAAAUGGAAAGAUGAUGCUGACCUAGAACAGUUACUGUUGGAGGUGUUUCACAAAUGGGAUGGGACUGCUGGGUGACACAUCACCAGCUUUUAUUCUGGGCACCAGUCUCAGGUACAGACUCAGGAGAUGGAACAAGCUCAUGUCUGCCACAAGCAGCCGGAAAUCUCUUUGUUACAGAACAUUUUAUAGGUUUUUCAGCCAAUAGCAUAUUGCUAAAGCUUACAGACAAUUGUUCUAUCCAAUCACUAAAAGCCCACGUACACCUUCUUCAAACAAUGCUUACUUGUUUGUUUUCUAUUAACAAUACAUAAUACUCUAUUUUUAAGCUUAAAACUUUCUAUUAUCUUGGUAAGCAUAUUUUUCUGCAGUCUUAAGGUCUAUCUUGGCCAAGCCUAAAAUCUCAACUAUUGUUUCACGUCCUUGCAUAUUGUAUUAUUGUAUCUUUGUUACUUUCAGGCCUUGCAGCUGCAGCUAGCUCUAAGUUCUCUGCUUUUUCUUUCCUGAGGCCUAUUUUCACAGCUUCUGAGAACCUCUACUGUUUGCCCACAAGUUACACCAUCUUCAUAACUAACCUGAAAUUUGUUAAUAGAACAGGAGCUCCAAGCAGCACUAACAUUUCUUUCCUUGGAUGAAGCCUCAAUCAAGAGACCCAAAGCUGAAGUUACUGCAGUGUUUUGUCCACAUGAAUGAAAGUUUAGCCAAGCUUGUACACAAGCCAGCCAGUGGCAGAAAGCCCAGCAGGUGUUUAUUCCCCAUCCUCUACUGCUACUAUCCCCACAACAUGGAGAGCUAUCACAAUAUUUUGCUUUCUCUCUCCUCCCCACCCACUGUUGUAUUUAAAUGAUAAUUCCUUGCCAUUUAACCUCUUUAGGAUACUGAGCUCCCAAACUGGGACUUGGAGACCUGCACACCGUUGGUGUGCUGAAGGCCAAGAAACCAAGCCCUGGUACUGCAGGGAGUUGCUGUUCUCCUUACAUCCUCACUGCUUCAAGUGCAAAUAUUGAAAGGACAGUUGCAUAGCUGCCAACAGAGUGAAGAUGUCUCAGGGGAUACAGUACUAUAUUCCAGUUCUACUAAUCUCUGCUUGCAGCAAUUACUUCAGCAUCAUUAAAGACAUUUGGUGCAGCAGCACCCAGUUUCUUGCACACAAAAAGCUGUGUUUAUUUGGGAGGAUAGGAUUUAAGAUGUAUUACAGCCCUCCCUGACAGCGGUUAGACCGCUCCCAGCUUGAACCUAUCACACCAUGCAGGCUUUAGGUGCCUCGGGGGAUCUGAAGCACCAAAAGUUUUGGACAGACUAUCUACCACAGCAGUCUUAGUCAGGACAGCAUGAUAUCUUUUGGAUACCUGGUGCACUUUUAUGUUUGAGAUAACCCUAAGACACCACCUGAAACCUUACUGAUAUGUUUAUAUCUUAAAUGACAAGAGGGUAAGAGCUACAAGAACGUGAAAAUUCAGGUUAAGUGCUGCUUCUGAUGUCGAGUAUUAUGAACUGACCAAAACUAAUUAACUGGCAACCUGUAGCAAACUGCAAAGGCAAGACAUAGCAGCCUGUCUCCCUUGAAGGAAGGAAGCAAAUGAGGAACAUCCUUAGAUGGCUUACAUUCUCCUUGUCCACCAGAACCAGCUAUGGGUCAUGUGAUUUUACCUCUCUUUCUUUACUUCUGAUAUCCCAAACUCAAAUCAGACAAACUUACCUCAAAUGACCCCGUGUGCUGGGAGUUGUUAUUUCACAACAGCUAUUACUAAUCGGCUGAUACGAUCCAGAGAAUGCCUUCUGGUGUUCUGCUUUCUGGUAUUAAUCUGUGUCAACAUCGAGACUUUCAAGCCAAGCAAUUUAGGACUGAAAUUCAAAAUCAGGCAGUGGAGGAUAACCUCCCUGAUUAAACUGAAGUCUGGAAACAAAAGUCAUAAAUAUAUUACAACAUGGAACUGCAUGACCUACUUCUCUUUGCCUCAAUAAUAACAACUUCAGAGAUUUUACUAGUUAAAAAAUAAAUCCAAUUCAUUUCUCAUAGCCUAAAGUUAAGUAUUUUAACAUUACAGCACAAACCUUUUAAGUUGGGCAUUCACUUUCUCUGAGGGAAUGCAAAUCUGGAGGGUUUUUUUUCAAUUAGAAGCAGAAAAGCGACCUUUAAUUGCAGCAUUUCAAAUUAUUGCCAUUUAAUUAAUCAAAUUUGCAUAAGUUAGCAGAGUAGCACAGCUUUGAAAUUGUGCUCAGGCACCAAAGUGAAGUUUGACUAUUCUGCCUCCCUCUCUCCUUUUUUAAAAUCUGUAUCUAAUGUAUUUCUAUGUGACAUUUUCAAGCUCCAAAAGGUUAAAAAAUGCAGGAAAUGUGGCUUCAGAAAAUUAAAUUUAAAAUUAUUAUGUUAAUAAAAGCUAGAACUAACCCAAAUAUUUUUAAUUUUCCUAGGACAAAGAUUGCUGCUCUCUUGCAAGCACCAAUAGAAAUCCUUUCUGGCUCUGUACUACUGCACAAGAACCUGAGGGAAGCACUGACUUUUCCCAUGGCACCUUAGCAUGUGCCCAAUAAGCCAGGGUUUCUCUCCCUCCCUGCAGAUAUCUUUCUCCACCAGCAAGUUCCCUGACAGAGACAGUGCAGGCAACUUAUAAAGUCUUUUAUUCUAGUAUAAAUUAUAAUGAGCUGUCUCACCCAGUUAACAUUCAGUCCCUAGAUAAAUCUUCAAACCCAUUGGCAUUUUGGAUGUCAGCAAGUCCAUGUGGGGAAGUGCAAAAUAGAUUAUUAUCAAGAAAUACCAGUGGAAGAGUGAAUAAAGCAGCCAAAGCAGAUAGGUCAUUUUAUUACCUGAAAACCUGAACUGAUUCUAAUAUUCAAUUGCUUUGUUGCAAGUGUUUGAUUUCCAUAACAAAAACAUUAUAUAAAUUGCAAGUAUCAAUGUUAUCUGAGUCUGCAACACAGAUUCAAAUAUUAGAUAAGCAUUUGCAUCCUGUUUGUAUGUGUGCAUGUUUCAUAAGGCACCUCCAUAUUUAUCACACUAAUGUUACCAUAGAACUGGUCUCAACAUUACUAUAGGCAUUUUAGAAUCAAAAAAACAUAAGAAAUGGUGUGAGGUUACUUUAAAAAAAUUGUUCAAAGUUAUUUUCCUUGCUCUGGAGUAGAAGCAAGUCAGUUCUGCCCUGUAAAAGCCUUUGAUUUUAUGAUCAGUCAGGAUGGGGUGGUUUUAUUACUUUUGCAUUAUCCCAGUGCCCUUGUUUUAGAUAAGGUAUGCAGAAGCCAACAUAACUUCUCAGCAUUUAGGACUGUAAGAUUAAGAAUAGUAAUUGUUUGCAGUGCUGUUCCCACAGUAGAGCUGCCUGUUUAAACCAUUUCCUGGCUUUGUAAUUCACUGUUUCCUCCACACUUUCCUCCUCUUUCACUUUGCAGGCUUAUUUCUACUGGAAGUUAUUUUUCAGAAUGGCACUCCCAAAAAUUCCAGACCAAGAAGAAUAUGUGGUUUUUCCCUGCACCAUAUUAAUCUCUCCCCUAAACCUUGGGAAGCAAGACCCUGCUUCUGCAUUGAGAAUAAAGUUUGCAUGGGCUACUUUUUACAGAGUGUUUUUCAAUAUAGGGAUAUUUGAAUUUGUUAAUCUACAUGGCUUCAACUGAUUCAUGUGUUCAACUUAUUCAGCAGCUUUGUCCUACUUUCUGCAAGUCUGAUUAUGACCAAGAUUGUUUAUAGCCAGUCCAGGGUAUUUACUGGCUGCUUUUCUCCUGGAUGAUCUGUGUCUCCUAGUCAGGGAUUGUCUUCCCUUUCUUCUAAGGUUUCAGUGGGUCAUGAGUUCAGUAAUUUUCAGCUCCCUGCUGAUGCAUCUGUAACUCCUCUGGUUU